UCUUAAGGAUGAGCAAAGAGAGUGGUUUCUUCAGAUGGAGUCUAUUGCUGGUGAAGAUGCUGUGAA
rnacentral:pre_miRNA from 1 species